rnacentral:lncRNA from 1 species
CGUUGAAAUAUUAGUCAUAAAAUAUCAUUUUUCUUGUAGUGGAAGCAGUUAAAAUAAUCAUAGGCCUUUCACUGAUAUGAAAUCAAGUCUAAUUUUAAGCAGUAGUACUGCGAGAACUUCUUUGCUUGGUGUACAUGAAUCUGAUGCUUAACCACGAGAUCUUUCUUCAAAACGACCCCUUGAUCAGCUCAUUGUCAAAGGUAAUGAAGAGACCACAACAGUGCCUGCCAAAUGUCAAUAUAUAGGAGUACAAUUCUGAAUGCCCUCUUGUUCUUGUAAAAUCUGAAUUCAAAUAAACUAGUCCCACAAACUUCAACAUCCAUCGUGCUGCCAAAAGAAAAAUGGGAAAGAACCAAGAGCAUAAAACCUGGGGAGUCUUUGGGUGUCUUUCCAAAUUUCUGAUCUUGGUUGAUUAUGAUAGAAAGAUCCAGUUACAAUUUAAGAUUUAAAUUAGAUCAAGAGACUAAAGGGUUUGAUUUAGGAAAAAAUAAAAAUAAAAAAUGGUCUUGAUAAAAUGAGUUUCUCAUCUUUUUU